rnacentral:misc_RNA from 1 species
AAAUAAAAAAAAAAAAAGAAUUUGUUAAGAUAAAUGACAUCAGCUCUUGCCUCUAUAGUUCAUGCACGCGUCCAAAUUAAUAAUUGGUAGCUGCUGCCUCCAUCAAAUAAAAUACGGGAACAGUUGCAGGCUGAAGCUACUGAGCAUGUAAUUAGAGUAAAUUGUAUUUUAGAUAAGGAAAAGGUAAAUGGAUAAAUAAUAAAUGGAGAUAAACACAGAGCAGAAAAUUUAAAUGAAAAAGGUUUUUGGUA